CCAUUUUUGGCCGAGUGGUUAAGGCAAUGGACUAGAAAUCCAUUGGGAUCUUCCCGCGCAGGUUCAAAUCCUGCCAAAAGCU
rnacentral:tRNA from 1 species